ACUUAUGGAAGUAUAGAGAAACAAAUUUUCUGCCUUUAAUUCAAGAGUGAUAACUUCAAAUUUCUCUUAAAUUAAUCAUAAGAAAGAAGAGAUGAGAGAAUUGGCUUGAGAGAAAAAGUGAAGAAGAAGAAAAGAUUAACAAAACUUAAUCUUCCAUUCUCUAACUAUUAGAGAUAUUGAAUUCCUUUUAAGGUCAAUUAGUGGUUGACAACUAAUGAUUACCUCAUUUACAAGUGUUUACAUCUAAUUUUCCAAUUAGAUGUGUUUUA
rnacentral:misc_RNA from 1 species